rnacentral:rRNA from 1 species
GUGGGGAAUAUUGGACAAUGGGGGGAACCCUGAUCCAGCCAUGCCGCGUGUGUGAAGAAGGCCUUUUGGUUGUAAAGCACUUUAAGCGAGGAGGAGGCUACCGAGAUUAAUACUCUUGGAUAGUGGACGUUACUCGCAGAAUAAGCACCGGCUAACUCUGUGCCAGCAGCCGCGGUAAUACAGAGGGUGCAAGCGUUAAUCGGAUUUACUGGGCGUAAAGCGCGCGUAGGUGGUCAAUUAAGUCAAAUGUGAAAUCCCCGAGCUUAACUUGGGAAUUGCAUUCGAUACUGGUUGGCUAGAGUAUGGGAGAGGAUGGUAGAAUUCCAGGUGUAGCGGUGAAAUGCGUAGAGAUCUGGAGGAAUACCGAUGGCGAAGGCAGCCAUCUGGCCUAAUACUGACACUGAGGUGCGAAAGCAUGGGGAGCAAACAGGAUUAGAAACCCUGGUAGUCC